AUUGAACGCUGGCGGCAGGCCUAACACAUGCAAGUCGAACGAGUGGCGGACGGGUGAGUAAUGUCUGGGAAACUGCCUGAUGGAGGGGGAUAACUACUGGAAACGGUAGCUAAUACCGCAUACCAUCGGAUGUGCCCAGAUGGGAUUAGCUAGUAGGUGGGGUAAAGGCUCACCUAGGCGACGAUCCCUAGCUGGUCUGAGAGGAUGACCAGACACACGGGAACUGAGACACGGUCCAGACUCCUACGGGAGGCAGCAUAGUGUAAGAUUGCAAAAUGGGCGCAAGCCUGAUGCAGCCAUGCCGUGUGUAUGAAGAAGGCCUUCGGGUUGUAAAGUACGUUCAGCGGGGAGGCGUUACCCGCAGAAGAAGCACCGGCUAACUCCGUGCCAGCAGCCGCGGUAAUUC
rnacentral:rRNA from 1 species